GGUCCUCUAAGCUCCCGUUAGACAUGAACUCAUACACUAGGCAUCCAUACUCUGGGCAGGCUCCCAACAGGAGAACCAUGUUUGGAUGCCGUAUGCAGCUUAAAACUUCUACCUGCUCAUAAUACUUAAAUCCAUUUGGAAGCCAUACCUCUUGCUGAAACUGUGACCUUCCUUGUGCUGCAUCUGGUCGCAAAACCUUAAUUGCAACGGGAGUAUGAUCUAGACGGGCUUUAUACACGGGGCCAUAACCCCCUUCCCCAAUCUUGAGAACUUCUGAGAAGAAUUCAGUGGCAGCUUCAAUUUCCUCUAUUGUGUACUUCCUGUACCUGUAAUCUGAAUGUGCUAAUGCAUCAAGUGCCUUUUUCUUUUCCACUGAUUCCUUGAGCGCUUUCAUUUCUGCGUUCACCCUUUUUUGUGAUUCAAUUUCUGCAAUUCUCUGAGCCGCUUCAGCGGCUUCCAUUGCUGCUUUUGACUUAGCUUUCUCCUUUUCUGCUAUUGCUAAUGCAGCUUCCUCAGCAAGUCGUGCCUCUUCCAAUCUCCGUUCCUCUUCCAAUUUCCACAGCUGGAGUUCUCUUGCCUGUUGUGGUGUAAUUAUGCACAAAGCUCUAACUAGUCAAAGUAUGUUGAGGAACAGUAUAAGCAGAUAUUAGUUGACACUCUAACCUUCUGUUUUGCUGUGAGUGCUUCUUUGCAGGCAGUACUAUACAUUUCCAUAGUUUGCUUUAGCUCCAGCUUUAGCCUCCUCAUUUCGGCUUCCACGUCCUCCUGUAUGUUUCCCCCAAUACCAUAAAACUCAUCCAUAUUAUUAUUUCCAGAUAUUGCACACACAUUUUCCUAGAACAUAGAAUAAUACAAAUAAUUAAUUAAAUAUAUGCAUAUAUUGUAACGUAAAUGGGAAGUGUGUAAAGAGGGUGAAACCUGGACUUGGUUACUUCAUUCCACUUUCACCGAUGAUAUUUGAUGAUUUUGAGGUGAAACAUCGUAUUUUUUUAUUGUUAUCUCGUUUAUAAGUAUUAGUUAGACAAACCUGAAAAGUGUAUAUAUCUUUUUUGAAAAAUACGUAUGAUGAAAAUUUAUAUUUUAAUCGAAGUGAGAACCGGUGCUUUUGAUGGUUUAUUUUCGUUGGUGAAUAUAAUGUGUUGUGUUGUACUAGCCUGUCUCACAGUCACAUCAAUGAAUUUAUGCAUGCUUUCCAGGCUUUA